GACGAACGCUGGCGGCGUGCCUAAUACAUGCAAGUAGAACGCAGUUGCGAACGGGGGAGUAACGCGUAGGUAACUGCCUCAUAGCGGGGGAUAAAUAUUGGAAAAGUUAGCUAAUACCGCAUUCUGUGAGCUGGACCUGCGUUGUUUUAGUUAGUUGGUGAGGUAAAGGCUCACCAAGGCGACGAUACAUAGCCGACCGGAGCGGGUGUACGGCACACAUGGGAAUGGGACACGGCCCAGACUCCCACGGGAGGGAGCCGUAGGGAAUUUUCGGCAAUGGGCGGAAGUCUGACCGAGCACCGCCGCGUGAGUGAAGAAGGUUUUCGGAUCGUAAAGCUCUGUUGUGAAGGAAGCGUUAACUAACCAGAAAGGGACGGCUAACUACGUGCCAGCAGCCGCGGUAAUUC
rnacentral:rRNA from 1 species